GGUUAAGCGACUAAGCGUACACGGUGGAUGCCCUGGCAGUCAGAGGCGAUGAAGGACGUGCUAAUCUGCGAAAAGCGUCGGUAAGGUGAUAUGAACCGUUACAGCCGGCGAUGUCCGAAUGGGGAAACCCAGUGCAAUUCGUUGCACUAUCGUUAACUGAAUACAUAGGUUAACGAGGCGAACCGGGGGAACUGAAACAUCUAAGUACCCCGAGGAAAAGAAAUCAACCGAGAUUCCCCCAGUAGCGGCGAGCGAACGGGGAGCAGCCCAGAGUCUGAAUCAGCUUGUGUGUUAGUGGAACGGUCUGGAAAGUCCGACGGUACAGGGUGAUAGUCCCGUACACCAAAAUGCACAGGCUGUGAACUCGAAGAGUAGGGCGGGACACGUGGUAUCCUGUCUGAAUAUGGGGGGACCAUCCUCCAAGGCUAAAUACUCCUGACUGACCGAUAGUGAACCAGUACCGUGAGGGAAAGGCGAAAAGAACCCCGGCGAGGGGAGUGAAAAAGAACCUGAAACCGUGUACGUACAAGCAGUGGGAGCACCUUCGGGUGUGACUGCGUACCUUUUGUAUAAUGGGUCAGCGACUUAUAUUCUGUAGCAAGGUUAACCGUAUAGGGGAGCCGCAGGGAAACCGAGUCUUAACUGGGCGUUAAGUUGCAGGGUAUAGACCCGAAACCCGGUGAUCUAGCCAUGGGCAGGUUGAAGGUUGGGUAACACUAACUGGAGGACCGAACCGACUAAUGUUGAAAAAUUAGCGGAUGACUUGUGGCUGGGGGUGAAAGGCCAAUCAAACCGGGAGAUAGCUGGUUCUCCCCGAAAGCUAUUUAGGUAGCGCCUCGUGAACUCAUCUUCGGGGGUAGAGCACUGUUUCGGCUAGGGGGUCAUCCCGACUUACCAACCCGAUGCAAACUACGAAUACCGAAGAAUGUUAUCACGGGAGACACACGGCGGGUGCUAACGUCCGUCGUGAAGAGGGAAACAACCCAGACCGCCAGCUAAGGUCCCAAAGUCAUGGUUAAGUGGGAAACGAUGUGGGAAGGCACAGACAGCCAGGAUGUUGGCUUAGAAGCAGCCAUCAUUUAAAGAAAGCGUAAUAGCUCACUGGUCGAGUCGGCCUGCGCGGAAGAUGUAACGGGGCUAAACCAUGCACCGAAGCUGCGGCAGCGACACUAUGUGUUGUUGGGUAGGGGAGCGUUCUGUAAGCCUGCGAAGGUGACCUGUGAGGGUUGCUGGAGGUAUCAGAAGUGCGAAUGCUGACAUAAGUAACGAUAAAGCGGGUGAAAAGCCCGCUCGCCGGAAGACCAAGGGUUCCUGUCCAACGUUAAUCGGGGCAGGGUGAGUCGACCCCUAAGGCGAGGCCGAAAGGCGUAGUCGAUGGGAAACAGGUUAAUAUUCCUGUACUUGGUGUUACUGCGAAGGGGGGACGGAGAAGGCUAUGUUAGCCGGGCGACGGUUGUCCCGGUUUAAGCAUGUAGGCUGGUUGUCCAGGCAAAUCCGGAUAAUCAAGGCUGAGGUGUGAUGACGAGGCACUACGGUGCUGAAGUAACAAAUGCCCUGCUUCCAGGAAAAGCCUCUAAGCAUCAGGUAACAUUAAAUCGUACCCCAAACCGACACAGGUGGUCAGGUAGAGAAUACCAAGGCGCUUGAGAGAACUCGGGUGAAGGAACUAGGCAAAAUGGUGCCGUAACUUCGGGAGAAGGCACGCUGGUGUGUAGGUGAAGUCCCUGCGGAUGGAGCUGAGACCAGUCGAAGAUACCAGCUGGCUGCAACUGUUUAUUAAAAACACAGCACUGUGCAAACACGAAAGUGGACGUAUACGGUGUGACGCCUGCCCGGUGCCGGAAGGUUAAUUGAUGGGGUUAUCCGUAAGGAGAAGCUCUUGAUCGAAGCCCCGGUAAACGGCGGCCGUAACUAUAACGGUCCUAAGGUAGCGAAAUUCCUUGUCGGGUAAGUUCCGACCUGCACGAAUGGCGUAAUGAUGGCCAGGCUGUCUCCACCCGAGACUCAGUGAAAUUGAACUCGCUGUGAAGAUGCAGUGUACCCGCGGCAAGACGGAAAGACCCCGUGAACCUUUACUAUAGCUUGACACUGAACAUUGAGCCUUGAUGUGUAGGAUAGGUGGGAGGCUUUGAAGCGUGGACGCCAGUCUGCGUGGAGCCAACCUUGAAAUACCACCCUUUAAUGUUUGAUGUUCUAACGUUGGCCCCUUACCGGGGUUGCGGACAGUGUCUGGUGGGUAGUUUGACUGGGGCGGUCUCCUCCCAAAGCGUAACGGAGGAGCACGAAGGUUAGCUAAUCCUGGUCGGACAUCAGGAGGUUAGUGCAAUGGCAUAAGCUAGCUUGACUGCGAGCGUGACGGCGCGAGCAGGUGCGAAAGCAGGUCAUAGUGAUCCGGUGGUUCUGAAUGGAAGGGCCAUCGCUCAACGGAUAAAAGGUACUCCGGGGAUAACAGGCUGAUACCGCCCAAGAGUUCAUAUCGACGGCGGUGUUUGGCACCUCGAUGUCGGCUCAUCACAUCCUGGGGCUGAAGUAGGUCCCAAGGGUAUGGCUGUUCGCCAUUUAAAGUGGUACGCGAGCUGGGUUUAGAACGUCGUGAGACAGUUCGGUCCCUAUCUGCCGUGGGCGCUGGAGAAUUGAGGGGGGCUGCUCCUAGUACGAGAGGACCGGAGUGGACGCAUCACUGGUGUUCGGGUUGUCAUGCCAAUGGCACUGCCCGGUAGCUAAAUGCGGAAGAGAUAAGUGCUGAAAGCAUCUAAGCACGAAACUUGCCCCGAGAUGAGUUCUCCCUGAGACUUUAAGUCUCCUGAAGGAACGUUGAAGACGACGACGUUGAUAGGCCGGGUGUGUAAGCGCAGCGAUGCGUUGAGCUAACCGGUACUAAUGAACCGUGAGGCUUAACCUU
rnacentral:rRNA from 1 species